rnacentral:rRNA from 1 species
CCAACAGGGAUUGCCUUAGUAACGGCGAGUGAAGCGGCAAUAGCUCAAAUUUGAAAGCUGGCCCCUUCGGGGUCCGCGUUGUAAUUUGUAGAGGAUGAUUCGGCGAGGGCUCCCGUCUAAGUCCCUUGGAACAGGGCGUCAUAGAGGGUGAGAAUCCCGUAUGUGAUGGGCUGCCUUAGCCAUGUGAAUCUCCUUCGACGAGUCGAGUUGUUUGGGAAUGCAGCUCUAAAUGGGAGGUAAAUUUCUUCUAAAGCUAAAUACCGGCCAGAGACCGAUAGCGCACAAGUAGAGUGAUCGAAAGAUGAAAAGCACUUUGGAAAGAGAGUUAAAAAGUACGUGAAAUUGUUGAAAGGGAAGCGCUUGCAGCCAGACUUGUCCGCAGUUGCUCAGCUUGUCUCCUGACAGGCGUACUCUUCUGCGGCCAGGCCAGCAUCAGUUCGGGCGGUCGGAUAAAGACCUGGGGAAUGUAGCUCCUCUCGGGGAGUGUUAUAGCCCUGGGUGCAAUGCGGCCAGCCUGGACUGAGGAUCUCGCUUCGGCUAGGAUGCUGGCGUAAUGGCUGUAAGCGGCCCGUCUUGAAACACGGACCAAGGAGUCUAACAUCUAUGCGAGUGUUUGGGUGUCAAACCCAUGCGCGUAAUGAAAGUGAACGGAGGUGGGAACCCUCACGGGUGCACCAUCGACCGAUCCUGAUGUCUUCGGAUGGAUUUGAGUAAGAGCAUAGCUGUUGGGACCCGAAAGAUGGUGAACUAUGCCUGAAUAGGGUGAAGCCAGAGGAAACUCUGGUGGAGGCUCGCAGCGGUUCUGACGUGCAAAUCGAUCGUCAAAUUUGGGUAUAGGGGCGAAAGACUAAUCGAACCAUCUAGUAGCU